GCGGCCGGGGGUAGGCGCCCACGCCGCGCCCACGCUCCCGCUCCUGGGUGCCAGGCAGCCGCGCAGGGGAAAGGCCUGUGGCUAUCUGACCCCAGAAGAGGAUUUCAGAGGAGGGAGCCAGCCAAGGAUGUCCCAAGGCCCGGCUGACUUCUCAGCUGUGACCGAUUUUGAAUUUGACUGAAUGGCACCAGGUUCUCCUAGUCAGGAGGUAAG